rnacentral:lncRNA from 1 species
UUUUUUUUUAAUAAAAGGCGAAACAAACAAAUUUAGAUAUCAUUUAAAGGACAAAAAAUAGUACUGUGGUUCUAAAAAAUAAAUUGACAUUAGUCAAUAUUUCAUAAUUGUAAAAUAACGUGAAUAAUACCACGUUUUAGUGAAAAUUAUGGGAAUAAAGUCUGUUAAUGGGUUGGACAAUUGAAAUUGUGUCAGUUAAGAGUUUUUUUAGCCACGAUAAUAAUUUUGCUACCUUUAUAUUUUCCCCUUAAAAAUUUAAGAAUGAGAUGUUCCUGAGUAAACAAAAAUGACAAUACGGUGCCACAGAAUCCUAGAAAGAGCAUUUUAUUUUGACUUUCUUUGCAUUUUAUUGAAGGGUGUGUCACUUCAAUAUAGCGUAAUAUGGAUUGGCCUCUGGAAUAUGCAUGAGUUUUUUAUUGACGUUUUCAAUCAGCCUUAAUUUUUGUGUCUGUUCGAAGUAGCACGUUCUCAAUUCCGACUGAAAGUGUCUUUCUAAUACAUCACAGGGUACAUAUAACGUGUUCUCGUUCACAUAUGAACAUGAUAUUUGUCACUGGACGUUAAACCCUAAUUCGUCAGCAUCAUCCAAUUGGUUCCUUUCUUCUAUUACUUAAUCAUAUGUUGUUUACAAAUCACUCUAAAGAAGUAAACGGAAAGGAGCGAAUGCAGCUACAUUUAUUUAUUUUAAGUUUCAAUUCAUUUUAUUCGUUUAGUUCCUUUCUACAGAAGUGCAGAGGAGAACUACAGUUGUCUAUGGUGGCCGGGGAAGUCCAUUUCGCGUUUUCGCGAUUUCGCCUUUUAUACUCUAUAGGGCAAAAACGCGAAAUUGCGAAAAGGCGAAAUUGCGAAGUCGAAAACGCGAAGUCGAAAACGAGAAAUAGGUUUCGCGUUUUCGACUUCGCAAUUUCGCGUUUUCGCCAUAUAGAAUAUGUAAGGCGAAAACUCUAAAGCGCUAAAACGCAAAAUGGCAUUAACCUGCCACCAUAGUUGUCCGCAUGUAAACUUCUAGAAUUUGUCACCAAUAUAAGUACAUCGCAAUCCGUUACUGUUUCAACAGCCAUCGGUGUUUCAUGUGUGUAUUCUUAAACAAGUAUUAUUUUUCUCUCGUUUUUAGCAAUGUAUCACUCUCUACUGUCCUUAUAUAUUAUUCUAUAUUCUGCGUUUCCAUCCAGAUUCUCGUGUAUACCAUGACGGUCCUGAUUGGGGUAUUGUUUAUUUCUGUAUUCUUUAAAUUCAACACGGUUAUGUCAUUUUUUUUCUACAUUUUAUUUAUCUUACUCAUUAUUCUUUCUUUAUUUUUCAUAUUUUGUCAUCCCAAUAUAUUUUACUUACUGAUAUUUAGUUACAUUACGACGUUUAUCUCUGAUUUAUAUACUGAUUACCAAUGUAGAUGAAAAAUUUGUGUCAUUCAUGACAAUUAAACAGAAUCAACAUGAUAUAUGCGAUCAUUCUUGGAUGAAAUUAAUAUUACUUUAAUAUUACACUUUUUGAAACCAUUUUUAUCAAAUGAAUUUUCAAUUUCGUGUGUUGUUUCCGUAUAUGUUAUGUUUCAUUGCUCAUGUGUUGUUUUCGUAUAUUUUAGCCGCUCGUCGUGAGCCUGCUCAUUUGAUCCAAUAACACCCCAUAUAGCAAUAAAAUUAUACUUUUAUUGCCAUUCAUAACUCUUAACAGACCAAUUAACAGACCGGGUUUUAUACAUCCGACCCAUUAACAGACCAGGUUUUAAAUAAAGAUUGAUUUAUGUCACCAAAAUACAGAUUUUCGUGUAGAUUUUUCACACAAUGUUAUCAAUAUGGUUAACAAACAUAAUGCCUUUCUUUAUUCGAUGUUCAAAAUAUUGAAUGCAAGUAAAUUUAACCAAUGUGUCAUUUUGUGUACAUUUUAUGUGUGUAAAAUGUGUAUAAAUUUGUUGAUGAGUAACCCGCCUUUUCAUUUUAUAGAUCGUACAUCGAAGCUCGAAAAAUAAUAAUUACACCACUGAAUUCAGUACAUUGAAUUGUUUUGUUAGACAUGAAUACUUUUUAUGAUGAAAAUAUAUUUAGA